rnacentral:rRNA from 1 species
UGCCAGCAGCCGCGGUAAUACGUAAGUCCCAAGCGUUACCCGGAAUUAUUGGGUGUAAAGGGUCCGUAGGUGGACUUGCAAGUCAGGUAUGAAAGACCGGAGCUCAACUCCGAGUUUGUGCUUGAAACUGCAAGUCUAGAAUCAGGGAGAGGUUAGCGGAAUUCUUAGUGUAGGGGUGCAAUCCGUAGAUACUAAGAAGAACACCAAAAGCGAAGGCAGCUAACUGGAACUCGAUUGACACUGAGGGACGAAAGCGUGGGGAGCGAAGAGGAUUAGAUA